rnacentral:rRNA from 1 species
CCUACGGGCGGCAGCAGUCGAGAAUCAUUCACAAUGGGGGAAACCCUGAUGGUGCGACGCCGCGUGGGGGGAUGAAGGUCUUCGGAUUGUAAACCCCUGUCAUGUGGGAGCAAAUUAAAAAGAUAGUACCACAAGAGGAAGAGACGGCUAACUCUGUGCCAGCAGCCGCGGUAAUACAGAGGUCUCAAGCGUUGUUCGGAAUCACUGGGCGUAAAGCGUGCGUAGGCUGUUUCGUAAGUCGUGUGUGAAAGGCGCGGACUCAACCCGCGGACGGCACAUGAUACUGCGAGACUAGAGUAAUGGAGGGGGAACCGGAAUUCUCGGUGUAGCAGUGAAAUGCGUAGAUAUCGAGAGGAACACUCGUGGCGAAGGCGGGUUCCUGGACAUUAACUGACGCUGAGGCACGAAGGCCAGGGGAGCGAAAGGGAUUAGAUACCCCAGUAGUC